GACGAACGCUGGCGGCGUGCUUAACACAUGCAAGUCGAACGGAAAGGCCCUGCUUGCAGGGUGCUCGAGUGGCGAACGGGUGAGUAACACGUGGGUGAUCUGCCCCUUAUUUUGGGAUAAGCCUGGGAAACUGGGUCUAAUACUGGAUAGGACCAUGCUGUAGGUGGUGUGGUGGAAAGAUUAGUUUCGGUAAGGGAUGAGCUCGCGGCCUAUCAGCUUGUUGGUGGGGUAAUGGCCUACCAAGGCGUCGACGGGUAGCCGGCCUGAGAGGGUGGACGGCCACAUUGGGACUGAGAUACGGCCCAGACUCCUACGGGAGGCAGCAGUGGGGAAUAGUGCACAAUGGGCGCAAGCCUGAUGCAGCGACGCCGCGUGGGGGAUGACGGCCUUCGGGUUGUAAACUCCUUGCAGCCAUGACGAAGCCCUUGUGGUGACGGUAGUGGUAGAAGAAGCACCGGCUAACUACGUG
rnacentral:rRNA from 1 species